UACGUAGGAGACGAGCGUUGUCCGGAAUUACUGGGCGUAAAGCGCGUGUAGGCGGAUGAGCAAGUCUGCUGUGAAAGCUCCUGGCUUAACCGGGAGUGGUCGGUGGAAACUGCUCGUCUGGAGGACGGUAGAGGUAGGUAGAAUUCCCGGUGUAGUGGUGAAAUGCGUAGAGAUCGGGAGGAACACCAGUGGCGAAGGCGACUACCUGGCCUGUUCUUGACGCUGAGGCGCGAAAGCUAGGGGAGCAAACGGG
rnacentral:rRNA from 1 species